AACGAACGCUGGCGGCAGGCUUAACACAUGCAAGUCGAGCGCCCCGCAAGGGGAGCGGCAGACGGGUGAGUAACGCGUGGGAAUCUACCCAUCUCUACGGAAUAACGCAUGGAAACGUGUGCUAAUACCGUAUACGUCCUUCGGGAGAAGGAUUUAUCGGAGAUGGAUGAGCCCGCGUUGGAUUAGCUAGUUGGUGGGGUAAAGGCCUACCAAGGCGACGAUCCAUAGCUGGUCUGAGAGGAUGAUCAGCCACACUGGGACUGAGACACGGCCCAGACUCAUACGGGAGGCAGCAGUGGGGAAUAUUGGACAAUGGGCGCAAGCCUGAUCCAGCCAUGCCGCGUGAGUGAUGAAGGCCCUAGGGUUGUAAAGCUCUUUCACCGGUGAAGAUAAUGACGGUAACCGGAGAAGAAGCCCCGGCUAACUUCGUGCCAGCCGCCGCGGUAAAAC
rnacentral:rRNA from 1 species